AAGUAAACAAAGAGAGGGACACCUAUUUGAAUAAGCUUUUCUCAGAGAGACUGUGGUUGGUGUAAACAGUUAAAAGCAUUUUGAUAGACUACCCUUGAGUAGUGAUACGAGUAAACUUUUUAGUCGAAUGUAUUACCGGUGAUGGCCGUUAUUCUGAACCAAAGUGUAAUUAAUUUUAUUAAUUAAAAACGGGUGGUACCGCGCUAAAAGCGUCCCUAGA
rnacentral:ncRNA from 1 species